UUCCGUUGAUAUCAAGAAAGUGCUGUU
rnacentral:piRNA from 2 species